CGUAGUUGGAUUUCUGGCGAUUGGGGGUGGUCCACCGCAAGGUGAGCACUGUUCCUGGCCGCCAUCCUCUCGAGGGCUUGUGGUGCCAUUAACUUGGUGCUGCAGGAGCUCGGGACCUUUACUUUGAAAAAAUUAGAGUGCUCAAAGCAGGCUAAAAUGCCUGAAUAUUCGUGCAUGGAAUAAUAGAAUAGGAUGUCGAUCCUAUUUUGUUGGUUUUCGGGACUCGACAUAAUGA
rnacentral:rRNA from 1 species